rnacentral:rRNA from 1 species
UACGUAGGCAGCGAGCGUUGUUCGGAAUUACUGGGCGUAAAGAGUGUGUAGGCGGUGCUCUAAGUUCGGUGUGAAAUCUCCUGGCUCAACUGGGAGGGUGCGCCGGAAACUGGAGUGCUUGAGCGUGGGAGAGGAAAGCGGAAUUCCUGGUGUAGCGGUGAAAUGCGUAGAUAUCAGGAGGAACACCUGUGGUGUAGACGGUUUCUGGACCAUAGCUGACGCUGAGACACGAAAAGCGUGGGGUAGCAAAACAGG